rnacentral:misc_RNA from 1 species
AGCAACAUCUUCAGCACCACUGAAAGCAAUAGCAAUGUCAUCUCCAAAUUUCUCAAGUGCUUUGUCCAUAACCUCAAGAGGGGAAGCAUUUUGAAGCUCCUUAGCCAAUUUCUCAAAGUCCUCUGCCUCAACACUCUCUCCUACCUCAGGAGCCACGAUGGUAGCUGCUGACGGAACUAUUGAAUCAUUCCUCUUAGGUUCAGCAUACAAUGGCUUCACUGCCGAACGCCUCCGAGAAUUCAAAACAGUUGACGACAAUAGUUGAGGCCUAUCCAAUGGCUGAAAGGUACCCAAUUGGGAUACUUUGGGUUGUUCAUAAGAAGAAGAUGAAGAAGACAAAGAGCCAUGAAUUGCAGAUGAAGAAGUGAAAGUCAAAGCCAUUUCUACAACAAAGAGAGAUUAAUUUCACAGAGACAAAGAACAAUUUGUUCCAGCAAAGAAAUUGCUUGUGAAAAAUAGAAGAAGAUGGUGAUGGGAAGAAGU